rnacentral:rRNA from 1 species
AAACCGUAUAGAGGUUAAGCCCGUUGAAUCUAAAUAUCUGACUAGUGGAAUUCAAUAUACUAUACUCAUCUAUAUGGUGGGUAUAUUGUAUGCACUUUCCAUUUAGUAAGACAUUGCAAUCCGUUAGAUUAGAUUAUGGUCUUUUGAUUAUGAUCUAUACUUAUCUAUGGGGCCGUUUAGUGCGUUUAUUAUAAUUAAUCCUCUACUUGUAGGGUAUUAUUUGAUAACACUUUGUGGUACUCGAUAAUGUAUAACUGACGGAUUUUAAACUAGGUCAUAUGUACAUGCAAAUGUGAUUGAUUUAUCAAUUUAUAUGCACCUAAUUGGCAAUGCAUUAUAGAUUUAGAUACCUUCGGGACCCGUCUUGAAACACGGACCAAGGAGUCUAGCAUGUAUGUAAGUGAUUGGGUACUUUCUAAUAUUUUUUAUAAUUUGGUUGCGGUAACGUGAUCGGUUAUAAUACAAUAUGGAAAACGUUUAUUCAUUUAAAUGAAACCCAAACGCACAAUUAACAUAACUAUUUGUUGGGAUUACAUUUACUUUAGCUAUAAGCAAUAAAGUUUAUUUCCAUCCCGGGGCGAUUUAUCAUUAAUGCUAGCAAUAGUAUUAUAAAAUCGUACCUUGAACAUACAUGCCAG